GUUGGAGCCAGAAUCUCGUCUCCUCUGGUCUGCUGAAGGCCUCAGGGAACGGAGGGGAGGUGAAGGGCCGUCAGGAGAACCAGCAGAACUUCCACGGAGACGCCGGACCUCAGGGGGGCGGAGCCUGAAAGCAGCAGGGAGGAACCUUGAUCCAGAUCCUGAGGACCUCCAGGAUCUGCUGAUCUUCCAGAUCAGAGAACAUUCUGGAUGAGAUCAUGAUCUACAGCAGAAUUCUGCUGGAAUCUGUCAGAGUUUGAACGAUCAGUGGAUCUGCUGAUCAGGGAUCUGGAUCCGAGCAGGACGAGGAGGUUCUGGACUCCAGAGUCCUGCUGCUUCACCAGAAUCCUGCCUGGAGCUGAUCAGUUUGGUAGCAGAGUCCAUGGAGACUAAAUCUGAGGGACUAAGACUGCAGAGAAGUUCAGAUUUCUGUUUCUGUGGAGACAGAGAUGGAGAGAUCUCUGACAGCAGAAUCCAGCAGCUGAAGCUUUGAACUUCAGGAAACCUUUGAUUCUUCAUCGUCUGAUCUGCAGCAGAUCUGAUAAUCUGGAAGAUCUGAGGAACGCAUGGAGAUGAUCUGAUAUCGUCUUCUGUUGAUGGAAAUGUCAACAGUUGGAUCUGGAUUCUGCAGAACUCUACAAACUCUGCUGGAGCAGAACUGAUCUAUUGUAGUAAACUUCUCUUUUAUGAAGCUGGGAGGAUUUGGCUCCGCCUCCUUCUACGCGGCGAGUCUGGUAAUGACCAUCCUUCCAUUCACCUGGACAAAAUCCUGAAGUAUUAAAUUCUUUAUGGUAAUAAAGUAUGAGAUAUGUCAGUAAAUACAUUUAUUAAGUUAGUUAGUAUUAGUGAAGUAGUUCGUUCGUAUGUUUGACUUCCCAGUAAAGGAAACAAAGCUGAUGUGAGGAUCACACUGAAGAGCUCCACCCUGGGGGCGGGGUCUAAAUUUCCUCAUGAGGUGAUAAUCUCGUCUGCUGUUCAUCUCCACAGACGUUUUUAACUUUAAUAAUUCUUCAACAUCCGAGUCCUUCCGAUAAACGGCUUUACCUACCCGUGUUCGUAGUCGUCGGGGAUGAAGUCGUUUCAAUGGAGGGCAGGGCUAAAGGUGGCACAGUUGUGGGCGGGGCCGUUGUAGUUGAAAUCAUUGACAAGACAAGGGGAGGAGCCAAUGUAGACGAUGAGGGUAUUCUUGGUUUACCUGUAACAAGAACAAGACA